rnacentral:rRNA from 1 species
CUACGGGUGGCUCCAAUGAGGAAUAUUGGUCAAUGGGCGCAAGCCUGAACCAGCCAAGUAGCGUGAAGGAUGACUGCCCUCUGGGUUGUAAACUUCUUUUAUAGGGGAAUAAAGUGCGCCACGUGUGGCGUUUUGUAUGUACCCUACGAAUAAGGACCGGCUAACUCCGUGCCAGCAGCCGCGGUAAUACGGAGGGUCCGGGCGUUAUCCGGAUUUAUUGGGUUUAAAGGGUGCGCAGGCGGGAUGAUAAGUCAGUUGUGAAAGUUGGACGCUCAACGUUCAAAUUGCAAUUGAAACUUUCAUUCUUGAGUGCAGUGGAGGUAAGUGGAAUUCGUGGUGUAGCGGUGAAAUGCUUAGAUAUCACGAAGAACUCCGAUUGCGAAGGCAACUUGCUAUACUGCAACUGACGCUCAUGCACGAAGGUGUGGGUAUCAAACAGGAUUAGAUACCCCUGUAGUC